AAUUCUCUUUCGAUUCACAUUUAUUGCUUUUCUUUUGCAGCAAAUGAACAUUUUUGGCUUAGGUUCACAAACAGCACAGCAAAGUCAGCAGUUAUCACAUCCUACUAAUAGUAAUGCACCCAACACUUGAAGAGUUAUCGCUGUGGAUGCUAUUAAUGGAAACUUAGGUAAGGGAUCCUCUCUUGCUUUACCAUUUGAAAGUUGUAUGGAGCUGUUUCUGCAUAGGUAAUUAAUUACUCAGAGAGCUAUAGAGUCACUCCAAUUUUCAAGUUGAACCUGUCCAAUUUUCGACGCUUAUAACAAUGUUUUUUCACUUCUCAUUGGAAGUACAUGGAAAAUCGGUGAAGAUAAAGUAAACCAAUUAAUGUGUUCGCUCCCAUUUUUCAUACUAACUUCUCUACAACAACAUUCUUAUAUAACAUGUAUUCACUAUAAAAGUCAAGUUUUACUCGAAACCGAUUUUUAUAUUAUGUUAUAUAUAUGUCCUCUGUAACAUCACUUCACUAUAACAGCCAAAAAAUAUCAUAACAAAUGAGGCUGUUAUAGAGAGAGGUUUGACUGUAUAUAUGAAAAUCUUUGUAUUUCGAGUGGCAACAUCUGAUGAUUAGGAUUACCAUGACCUCUCAUUUCUAUUGAUGACAUUAUCAGUCAGCUCUAUUUCAUGAUUGUUCAUUCACUAUUUGAUUAUGCUUACACAGAUUAGUAAAGAUCAUCUAAAUUUAUAAAUCAUUCUAUUUUCAAUGACAGGACAAUGAAAUAGCUUCAUUUGGCCUAUGUUUAUCACGGUACGAGACUCUAGCUAUCGUUGCGGACAGAUCUUAAGGAUUUUGGAAGCUAAUCUUCCAAAGAUGUAAGUGCUGAAGGCACCAAAUUCAUGAAAUACAUAUAUUUUUUUGUAUGAAUUUGUGCCAAACUCAUCAAGACUUCCUCAUAUAUGUGAGAAAAAAGCAGCUAUAGCAAUACUGGGGAUCUAUAAGCUUUAUUCUAUACGUGCAUAUUUUUCAUGUUGCCAACUUUUAUGCCGUCAAAUGACAGGAUUAGUAGUUGGCAUCUAUCUUGAAUAUAUCUAACGUUUAGUUGGAAUUGUAAGCUACUGUAUAUAACUGAAUUAAUGAGGAAUAAGUAAACCAUUCGUCAAUAUUAAUGAAUGCUAGUUGGUUUAUCUCACUUUUACUAUUUCUGCUGCUUGUUUAAUGUUUUUUUCCUGUGUAUCACAUCAGAUAUUUCCAUGGAAAUCAAGGUUAUUCACUAUUCUGUGUGGCUAGCCAUGAGUGUUCAUUUUACAGUUUAGCUUUUUCUUUUGUCUUAAUCACAUCAUCGCAGAGGCGGAUCCAGAAUUCAAAGUUUAUGGGUUCAACUUUAAGAUUUUUAAUAUUGAACCAAUUAUAUUUUUAAAGCUAUGGGUUCAGAUCUACUGUUUGUUCCAAUUUUAGUGAAUUUUUACACAUAAAUUUAUACUCCGC
rnacentral:lncRNA from 1 species